AAGAACUAGAGGCUUA
rnacentral:sRNA from 1 species